rnacentral:lncRNA from 1 species
AGGUACAACAGAGACAGCUGUUUGUCCCCCAGUAUCCUUCAGACAAAGCCAUAUAUGAUUGAAGGUUAUCAGUACUGUGCUUUUGGAGGAUUCAGAAGAAGUUAUAUCUGAUUGGGAGAUUGAAAAGGAUUGGCCUGAAGGAGAGGUGGUUUUUGAACUGCAUCUUAAAGGAUGAGGAAACUGAGGCUGAGAGGGUAGAGAACUUUGCCUGAGGUCACUCAGCAGGGACCCACCCAUCACAGUAAAUGCCAGCACUGCUGAUGCCAAAACAAUGUUAUUUGUAGGCCCUCGGAAUUUGUGACCUGAAGGAAGAAGAGCAGGGCCGUGGGAAGUAUGUAACCAGUGUCAUGCCCCUGGUCCCAAGGAAGCAGUGGCUUGGCCUGAACACCCUGUCCUACCUGGUCCUACCUGGAUGCUGGCCUCAGUAAGCUCCUGGGCUCAUUGAAGAUGAACCUAGCAGUAGUAUUUACACCACUUGUUGUGUGCCCACUGUGGGCCCGGCGCCAUGCCGAGUGCUCUAUGGAUGUGAGAGAAACGGAGGCCCAGAAAGCAGAAAUGAUGUGUUAAGAUCACUCAUCAAGCUGAUGGUACAGAGGUUAGAGCCUCUGCUCCCUGCUCUACCUCUUUCCCUUACUCCACAUCCAUGCCUGUCUCUUCCAAUGGGUCGGCAUCCACCCUGACACAUUAAAGCCAAAAGGAACCUUAAGCUAGGGAAGGGGCUCCAGAACUUUAGUGAAAGAUUCAAACAUGUCCACUCAACUCAAUGGAGAAAAUACAAUAUUCAAUCAAUGGUGUUGGGAUGCCUGGAAUAUUGUUGGAGAGGGAUCAUAAAAAUGGAACCAAAACAA